AAACAUGUUUUAAGGUUUAUAAUUCUUAAAUCAGGCCUGCACACUGAAUUUUAAAGAGCUGCAGUAUAUUGACUGUACUAAGGUAGCAUAAUAAAUUGUUGAUUAAUUAUCAACUUGAAUGAAAGGUUUGACUCUUAGUGACUGUCUYUAGAUUUUUAUUGAAUUUAAUUUCUGGUUAUAAUUCCAGACAAAAUUUAAAAGACGAUAAGACCCUAUAAAAUUUUAUUAAUUUUUUUAGAUUAUAUUAAUUAAAGUGUAUUUAAUUUGGUUGGGGCGACUAGUAUAAAAUAUUUAACUGUUMUAAUUUAAACUUUAUAAUUGAUUUUAAAGACCCUUAGGAGAUUUAUAAAAAAAGUUACUUUAGGGAUAACAGCGUAAUUCUUUAUAGAGUUCUUAUCGAAUAAAGAGUUUGCGACCUCGAUGUUGAAUUAAGAAGUCCUUGCGGAGCAGGAGU
rnacentral:rRNA from 1 species